rnacentral:rRNA from 1 species
GAUGAACGCUGGCGGCGUGCCUAAUACAUGCAAGUCGAGCGAACAGACGAGGAGCUUGCUCCUCUGACGUUAGCGGCGGACGGGUGAGGAACACGUGGAUAACCUACCUAUAAGACUGGGAUAACGUCGGGAAACCGGAGCUAAUACCGGAUAAUAUAUUGAACCGCAUGGUUCAAUAGUGAAAGACGGUUUUGCUGUCACUUAUAGAUGGAUCCGCGCCGCAUUAGCUAGUUGGUAAGGUAACGGCUUACCAAGGCAACGAUGCGUAGCCGACCUGAGAGGGUGAUCGGCCACACUGGAACUGAGACACGGUCCAGACUCCUACGGGAGGCAGCAGUAGGGAAUCUUCCGCAAUGGGCGAAAGCCUGACGGAGCAACGCCGCGUGAGUGAUGAAGGUCUUCGGAUCGUAAAACUCUGUUAUUAGGGAAGAACAAAUGUGUAAGUAACUAUGCACGUCUUGACGGUACCUAAUCAGAAAGCCACGGCUAACUACGUG